GACGAACGCUGGCGGCGUGCCUAAUACAUGCAAGUAGAACGCUGAAGGAGGACCUGCUUCUCUGGAUGAGUUGCGAACGGGUGAGUAACGCGUAGGUAACCUGCCUGGUAGCGGGGGAUAACUAUUGGAAACGAUAGCUAAUACCGCAUAAGAGUAGAUGUUGCAUGACAUUUGCUUAAAAGGUGCAAGUGCAUCACUACCAGAUGGACCUGCGUUGUAUUAGCUAGUUGGUGAGGUAACGGCUCACCAAGGCGACGAUACAUAGCCGACCUGAGAGGGUGAUCGGCCACACUGGGACUGAGACACGGCCCAGACUCCUACGGGAGGCAGCAGUAGGGAAUCUUCGACAAUGGACGGAAGUCUGACCGAGCAACGCCGCGUGAGUGAAGAAGGUUUUCGGAUCGUAAAGCUCUGUUGUAAGAGAGGAACGAGUGUGAGAGUGGAAAGUUCACACUGUGA
rnacentral:rRNA from 1 species